UUUUUUUUUUGCAUACAUCAUUGUAAAAUUAGCCAUUUUGAUGACCCUGAAACAGUGCUCCAGCACUCCAAAAUACAAUUUGAGUUAGAAAAAUACCGAUCAUGAUCGGUAACUUUUCAAUGUUAAAUAUAUUUAAACUAUUUGAAAAUGGAUACACUGUGUGCAUCUUAACUCUUAAAUAACUAAUGCAAAUAGCAAGAAUAAUGUUCUCCAACCAUUCUAAAUAAAUGCAAGUUGUACUGUACUUUUAGAGCUGUCAAUAAAUCUUCAAGAGUGAAACUCAAGGAAUACUCUUUUUGCAAGGUUUGUUUUGAUGGCUCCCAGUAGAUGGACUAGAGCAAAAUCCAUCUUAUGAGAUGAAGAAAGGGAGCCCAUUUGUUUUAUUAUUCAGAAUAGUCUCUUCUGUAUCUUUAUCUUAGAUGCAAAAAAGGACUUCUGUACCUUACUGAAGAAAUUCAGAUCUUUAUUUGCAGCAGUAAACAUGAACUGGCUUAUAUUUUCUAAUUCACGCUAAAAUAAGUAUCCCUAUUCUAUACUAAACAUGUAUGAUGUCAAGAUAUUUUAAACACCAAGAACAAAAUGUCCUUUUAAAAACUAUACUAUUCCUUAGUUAUUCAUUAAUUUGACAACUAUUCACAUUGAACAUUAAGGGCUAAGCAAUAUGGUAGACACGUGAGGAGACAAUGGCAAGCAAAAACUUGGCAGAACUUGCAGUGCAGUCAAGGAGAUGGAUAUUAAUCAAAUAGUUACCCAAAUAAAAAAUACUGUACCUGCAAAAUGGUAUCUGUAUUAGUCCAUUCUCAUGCUGCUAAUAAAGACAUAUGCAAGACUGGGUAAUUUAUAAAGGAAAGAGGUUUAAUUGACUCUCAGUUCAGCAUGGUUGGGGAGGCCUCGGGAAACUUACAAUCCUGGUGGAAGGGGACACAAACACGUCCUUUUUCAUAUGGCAGCAGCAAGGAGAAGAAUGAGCAAAGAGGGAAAACUCCCUUAUAAAACCAUCAGACCUCAUGAGAACUCACUCACUACCAUGAGAACAGCAGCAUAGGGGUAACUGCCCCCAUGAUUCAAUUACCUCCCACCAGGUCCUUCUCAUGACACAUAGGGAUUACGAGAACUACAAUUCAAGAUGAGAUCUGGGUGGAGACACAGCCAGACCCUAUCAGUAUCAAAGAGAACAUAGCCUUAUGUAAAGUGUGUAUAACAGGGCUAUGUGACUUGAUGACAUUAGGAAGGUUCUAUCAAGAAAGCUGUUAGUAACCCACCAUCGGAAGGAUGUUAGACACUAACCAGGCCAAUAAGAAAGCAAAAGCAUGAAAGAGAGAAAGAUACAACAUGUGCAAAUGUCUUAGAGUGGGAGGGAACAUGGCAAAUAUGAGGACCUAAAAGAUGAUAUUCUGUAUCUGGGAGAGAAAGGGUAGCAAAGAAGGGAACAUGGCACAAGAUGAGGCUGUAGAUGCAGGUUGACCAUAUAGAGUAUUUUAGCACAUAUUAUGCUUUGGCUUUGUUUUUAUUAAGUGCAAUAAGAAGCCAUUAAAGAUGUUAGAUAAGAGACAUACCUCCACUUUCCAUUCUUUUAUCCUAACUACCUACAGGCUUUCCACUGACCUUUCUCUCACCGUGUUCCAGGGAAAACAGAAU
rnacentral:lncRNA from 1 species